UGCAAUAGGAAGAGACCUAUGGCAUCAUGACUAUUGAGAUAUUUUACAUAUUUCCUUGCUUCCUGUUGAAAUGUAGCCUCUGAAUGAUUCAACCUUGGACCUUGGAAAGAAAAGCACUCCAGAAUCACCACCACUACAUCGAGCUGUGAAGUUCUGGACAAAUGGCUACACAUUUUCCCAUGGACCCAGGAAGAUGAUCCCAGGGAGACUUUCUGAGCUUCUGUGACAGAAUCACCCUAUAAGAAAGAGAGGCAAUGUCGCUGAUUGAUUGUACAAUGGAUUUCUGGAAAGUCCACCCACAGCCAAGUCUUGGCCUUGUGGUAGGGGCAACCAGAUUGUCCGCCAAAAUUGCCUGAUACUUGGUGGAAUCCAUUACACCAUUAAUAAUGCCCCUGGACCUCUGGAAUUAAAACAGCCCCAAAACACAACUGACUGUGGGUAUGACGGGCAUCUCCUGUUAUGCAUCUCUGUUUCAAUAUCUGAGACAUUUGGUCUCAUUUGGUCAUUUAAAGUAUGAUUGAAUGACUGUGCUGUGGUCAGAUGAGACCAAAUUGAAUGUUUACAGCAUCGGCAUGUUUGCCAUUGAAACAGUGAUGCAUAAUAGCAGGGAAUAUACCCUCAGGGAAAUUUUUGUGGUGGGUCCAUGACUGUGCAUUACUGUGACUUCACCUUAGUAGAAGGUGCCCUGGAACAGCUGCCACGCCAAUGCAGUAUGUCUGGCUCAAUAACAGGAUUUAGUUUCCCGUAGGCCUCUUGAAGUGAUAGGUCAUCUCUCAUUGAGAUUCAGUUUUGGUUUAUUCUUCUCCACACUUUCAACUUGAGUUUGUUUGGGUUUGACUUAAUGGAAGGUUUAUGAGCUCUUGAGCCAGACCUUGUAUCAGCUCCUACUUCCACUGACUCUGUGAUGCAUGAAGGAGAGACGGCCUUGUCAAGUAUACAGUGAUAUAAUCGUAAUGCCUUACCUGUCAAAGGCAGGAUGCUUUGAUUUAAAAUUACUUUAAUCUUUCGUUGGGCAGACAGCGUUUGCCCACCCUCGCUCUACCUUAUAAGCCUUUUAUGUUCAGUGAAGCAUUCUAAGAAAAAAAAGGCUAAAACGGAUUUUAAAGUGGAUCCUGUAUUUGUUUUAUGGCAGUUCAGGUUUGGUUCCAGCCGGGGACUGCAGGUGUACGAUGACACACAGACAAACCUGUCCGUUCAGCUCCAUUGAACGGGGCUGCUGUAAAUUGAGCGGCGCUGUGACAAUGGCUCAGGCGGUAAGAGCAGUCGUCUGGUAGUCAGAGGUUCGAUCCCGCCCUGGGUGUGUCAAAGGGUCCCUGAGCAAGACACGUAACCCCCAAAUGCUCCUGACGAGCUGGUCGGCGCCUUGCAUGGCAGCCAAUCGCUGUUGGUGUGUGAGUAUGUGUAUGAAUGGGUGAAUGAGAAGCAGCACCUGUACAGCUCUUUGGAUAAAGGUGCUAUAUAAAUGCAAACCGUUUACAAUUUUACCAAAUCAUGCAUAAUGUCUUGUGAGCUUGCUGGCCUCUGUGGUCACUUGUGAGGCACACUGGAACUGCUACCGGACCGUCCCGAAUACAUCUAAGCUUUAAUUAUCCCUUGCCGCUGAGCAUAUAUGUACUACACACUAUAGACAUUUCUCCUCAGUUGUGGGUUUUGGGUAGCAUGCAAUGUUUGAUGCCUUGUUCCAUUUUCUGUGGUUCUCAAUCUGAGAAUUACUCACUGUAAAGAACCAAUCACUGAAAAUGUGAUUGCAAACUGAUCCAGAAAAUGCAUACGCACAAACGCAUAAAGCAUGGACAUGCAGAUACUCAUAGUUUUUAUGGUGUACGAAGAGACCAAGCCACUAUGCUUUCGUGCCAUAUAACAGAACAUAUGCAAAUCUAUGCAUUAAUUUUUAAACCAUUUACCAUACUUGUUUUCUGUUAAGUGAUAUUUACCAGUAUGUGCCAUUGCAGCCUGUCAUCGUUUAUCCAGAAUACCCAUCUCCAUAGUGACGAGUAAUUUUCUGCUCAGUGACAGGCUAUUUCUUCUUUUCUGUGGGUUGAAACAGCUCUAGUUGUGAAACACAACUUCACAACAGUACCAUUGCAUAGUCACCUAUUGCAAGUCUCUUCGUUAUUGAUAACAGGAAGAUGUCACCACAGGCGUGUUGCCACAAAAUGCACAUAUACUUUAUUUCCCAUUUACAAUUUCACAAAUUAAUUUACAUGACAAAUAUAAAUGACUGUAUCGGUGAACAUCUAAGUAAAUACCUAAACAUAAGGAUUUAUGUUCAGUUCAGACCUCUGCACAAUACUGUAGUUCAGAUGGUUCAGUGAGACCACUGAGCCAUUACAUGCAAAUAAUGCGAAAAGGGAAGACAGUGUCACUCUGAAAGCACAGUGGUUUCAGAAAGGCAGAGGGUUAGAAUGGCAGUUGGAUCUGCAUUUGAAAUCCCCUGACUUGAUGUCAAAUGAGACUGGCAAAAGAAAGGUCAAUCCAAGAAAUGUCAACAAUGAACAAUAAAAUAAUCCAUCCAUCCAUC